rnacentral:rRNA from 1 species
CAAUAGCGUAUAUUAAAGUUGUUGCGGUUAAAACGCUCGUAGUUGGAUUUCUGUUGAGGGCAGCCGGUCCGCACUUCGUGCGUGUAUCUGGUUUGACCUCGGCAUCCUCUCAAAAUACGUUUCUGCGCUUGAUUGCGUGGAGCGGAGUUUGAGACUUUUACUUUGAGGAAAUUAGAGUGUUCACGGCAGGCAAUCGCCUUGAAUAUAUUAGCAUGGAAUAAUAAUAUAGGAUCUUGGUUCUAUUUUGUUGGUUUCUAGAGCUAAGAUAAUGAUUAAUAGGGACAAUUAGGAACAUUCGUAUUAACGCGUCAGAGGUGGAAUUCUUGGAUUGCGUUACGACGAACUACUGCGAAAGCAUUUGCCAAGGAUGUUUUCAUUGA